GCUCCAAGAUGGGUCCCACCCCCGGAGGGUUUUGUGAAGAUCUAUGUAGACGCUGGAGUUUCGGAGGGAACAAACACUGGAACAACGACAGCUUUAUGUCGUGAUCGGGAUGGAACUUAUUUGGGUUCCUCCAUGCUGGUAAUUGAGGGGCUGACGGAUCCAACUACACUAGAGGCAAUAGCAUGUAGAGAGGGCAUGGCUUUGGCUUUGGACCUGGGAACGAAUCAUAUACAGAUUGCUUCAGACUGUAAGCAGGUAGUAAAUCAUAUCCAUCAGAGAGCUGGGGCGAUCAUGGCGUUAUCAUCAAAGAGAUCUUACAAACUUCCACCUUAUUCACGACUUGUAAUUUUUCCUUUGAACCUCGGGAGUCGAACUAUGAGGCUCAUAGACUUGCUAGAUUUGAUAUUUCACUUCCUGCUGGAAGGCAUUUGUGGUUGGGUAUCCAGCAUGACCCAAUUGUAA
rnacentral:rRNA from 1 species